AUCCAAAUUGUUAUCCGGAUUAUUUCACAAGCAAAAAUUGUAUCUAAUAUUCAGGUCUAAUGUGUUAAUGGAAUAUUUGAGCAUUUAAUGUCUUAACACUAAUAUAAUUGUGUUGCUAUAAAACUGAGGGUAACGUCCAAUUAAUCACAUUGUGCUAUCGCACUUUGCAUUAAUUGAACAUAGCAUAACAAAUGAAAGUCUGUUGAAAAGUUAGCUAAAAAUCAUGAGUUUAUGCUCAUGUCACCACGUGACUCUCAUGUGUUCUCGUAUCAUUUUUCAAGUUUUGUCAACAUGUUACAUUGGAAUUAUUUAAUUUAAUUUGAUGUUUUCGUGAUUGUUAAAUAACAUUGAAAUGGCAUCUUCUUUAAAAGGUAUGGUUGCCUUCAUCACAGGAGCAUCGUCUGGCUUAGGAAAGGCUACAAUGCUUCAUCUUUUAUCUAAAGGAGCUGCUGGUUGCUACUCUUAUGAUCUUCAAGCUUUUCCUGAGGCCGAUAAACAAAAUUUUGAAAAUAAAAUUGGUUUUAAGCGAGGUGAUAUUCGUGAUUCCGACUCAGUUACUUUAGCUCUCGCUGAUUGUAAAAAUAAAUUUGGCAAGAUAGAUGCGGUAAUCAACUGUGCCGCUGUUUCGGUUGCUUUUAGACUGUUCAAUUACAAAACUGGUGUUCCUCAGAAGCUGAUUGACUUCCAAACAACAUUGGAUAUUAACGUGAUUGGGACAUAUAAUGUUUGUCGGUUGGCUUUAUCACAUCUUUCUAGAAACCCACUUGAUCCAGUAACAGGAACGCGAGGAAUCAUCAUUAAUACUUCAGGAAUAGCCGGACAAGAUGGACAAAUCGGUCAAACCACUUAUGCUGCAUCAGCUGGAGCCAUUGAUAGUUUAACUAAUCCUUUGGCUCGAGAAAUCGCACCAAAACGAAUAAGAUGUGUUACAAUUUCAGUAGGUUACUUUGAUACUCCAGUUCUAGCGACACUUCCAGACUGGGCCAAACAAUAUUUAAUCAAUUACACAGCAUCACCUAAAAUACUUGGAAAACCUGAGCAUUAUGCUACCAUGGUGGAACAAAUCAUAACGAAUUCAUUUCUAAACAUGACAACUAUCAACUUAGAUGCUGGGAUGAGGCCUAAAGUUUUUAAAGCUUAGUUAGCUUACUAACCAGCCUUUUCACUUCCAAUUCUGUCUAUUGUAUCAAUCAAGUCAAUAAAUGUACAAAGUAUGAUUUUUCAGGUGUAUGUCUCACCUGACCAAUCAUGAAAUAGAAACAAUUCUUAACAGACAAGA